CCCAAUGCUCUCCCUUCUCGUAGCUCAAAACGUUCUAAAGAGGUAAUCUCCUUAUUCCUUAUAGGAAGACCAGGUUUGGCAAGUACAAGAGAGAAAGCCAGGCAGAGAUAAGCCCCCCGAUCCCUCUUUGAUCUCCAGCAGUGUUUGUAUCCUUCAGAUGAGUCCUAAGAAGGCUGAAUUUGAGAAUGAUGGGUCUAGAAGUUUGCCAUCCCCAGGAUUACUUACAUGGCACCUGAUCUGGUACAUGCCAUCUUAAAGCGUUUCCCUUGUCAAUGCUAGUCAGCCUCAUUUGUCCUAACCUUUCUCAUUUCUGCCUGAGUGCAGCUUUGGGGGCUCCCUUUGAGCUGUGUACAGUGUCACUCAAUGUCAUUCUUACUGGGCCAGAAGAGCAGCUACCUCUUUCAUGGUAUAUCACCAAGCCAGUUUUGUUCUCACAAACUCGCUUCCAGAUUGGUUAAUUCAU
rnacentral:lncRNA from 1 species